rnacentral:lncRNA from 1 species
UCGCUUAGUCCCUUCAACCGAACCUAGUGCGACUGUCACUCCAGCUACAACUGAGCCUACCAAGACUGUUUCUCCAGCUGCAACUGAACUGCUAGAAUCUAGUGAGAACAAGGUUUCAGUUGAUGCCAAUAACGAUGCCGGCAAAGAAGCUGAAAAGGGGGAUGGUGAGGAUAACAAGCAGUCUGAAAGCAAGAUUGACGAGCCAGUGGCUGUAGAAGCUGCCAGCAGUGAACCUGAAAAGGGUGAAGAUGAGAGUAGUAAGCAGACAGAAAGCAAGAAUGAGCCAGCAUCUGCAGAUGCUGCAGGCAAGAAGAGUUCUGAUGAUAAGGAGAAUGGCGCUGAAAAAUCAGAGGUAGACA